GAUGAACGCUGGCGGCGUGCCUAAUACAUGCAAGUCGAGCGAACGGACGAGAAGCUUGCUUCUCUGAUGUUAGCGGCGGACGGGUGAGUAACACGUGGAUAACCUACCUAUAAGACUGGGAUAACUUCGGGAAACCGGAGCUAAUACCGGAUAAUAUUUUGAACCGCAUGGUUCAAAAGUGAAAGACGGUCUUGCUGUCACUUAUAGAUGGAUCCGCGCUGCAUUAGCUAGUUGGUAAGGUAACGGCUCACCAAGGCAACGAUGCAUAGCCGACCUGAGAGGGUGAUCGGCCACACUGGAACUGAGACACGGUCCAGACUCCUACGGGAGGCAGCAGUAGGGAAUCUUCCGCAAUGGGCGAAAGCCUGACGGAGCAACGCCGCGUGAGUGAUGAAGGUCUUCGGAUCGUAAAACUCUGUUAUUAGGGAAGAACAUAUGUGUAAGUAACUGUGCACAUCUUGACGGUACCUAAUCAGAAAGCCACGGCUAACUACGUGCCAGCAGCCGCGGUAAUACGUAGGUGGCAAGCGUUAUCCGGAAUUAUUGGGCGUAAAGCGCGCGUAGGCGGUUUUUUAGUCUGAUGUGAAAGCCCACGGCUCAACCGUGGAGGGUCAUUGGAAACUGGAAAACUUGAGUGCAGAAGAGGAAAGUGGAAUUCCAUGUGUAGCGGUGAAAUGCGCAGAGAUAUGGAGGAGCACCAGUGGCGAAGGCGACUUUCUGGUCUGUAACUGACGCUGAUGUGCGAAAGCGUGGGGAUCAAACAGGAUUAGAUACCCUGGUAGUCCACGCCGUAAACGAUGAGUGCUAAGUGUUAGGGGGUUUCCGCCCCUUAGUGCUGCAGCUAACGCAUUAAGCACUCCGCCUGGGGAGUACGACCGCAAGGUUGAAACUCAAAGGAAUUGACGGGGACCCGCACAAGCGGUGGAGCAUGUGGUUUAAUUCGAAGCAACGCGAAGAACCUUACCAAAUCUUGACAUCCUUUGACAACUCUAGAGAUAGAGCUUUCCCCUUCGGGGGACAAAGUGACAGGUGGUGCAUGGUUGUCGUCAGCUCGUGUCGUGAGAUGUUGGGUUAAGUCCCGCAACGAGCGCAACCCUUAAGCUUAGUUGCCAUCAUUAAGUUGGGCACUCUAAGUUGACUGCCGGUGACAAACCGGAGGAAGGUGGGGAUGACGUCAAAUCAUCAUGCCCCUUAUGAUUUGGGCUACACACGUGCUACAAUGGACAAUACAAAGGGCAGCGAAACCGCGAGGUCAAGCAAAUCCCAUAAAGUUGUUCUCAGUUCGGAUUGUAGUCUGCAACUCGACUACAUGAAGCUGGAAUCGCUAGUAAUCGUAGAUCAGCAUGCUACGGUGAAUACGUUCCCGGGUCU
rnacentral:rRNA from 1 species